rnacentral:rRNA from 1 species
UGCAUAUGAAUCUGCCCGAUAGUGGGGGAUAACCUGGGGAAACCCAGGCUAAUACCGCAUACGUCCUACGGGAGAAAGGGGGCUCCGGCUCCCGCUAUGGGAUGAGCCUAUGUCGGAUUAGCUAGUUGGUGAGGUAACGGCUCACCAAGGCCACGAUCCGUAGCUGGUCUGAGAGGAUGAUCAGCCACAUCGGGACUGAGACACGGCCCGAACUCCUACGGGAGGCAGCAGUGGGGAAUAUUGGACAAUGGGGGAAACCCUGAUCCAGCCAUGCCGCGUGUGUGAAGAAGGCCCUCGGGUUGUAAAGCACUUUCAGCGAGGAAGAACGCCUAGCGGUUAAUACCCGCUAGGAAAGACAUCACUCGCAGAAGAAGCACCGGCUAACUCCGUGCCAGCAGCCGCGGUAAUACGGAGGGUGCAAGCGUUAAUCGGAAUUACUGGGCGUAAAGCGCGCGUAGGUGGCUUGAUAAGCCGGUUGUGAAAGCCCCGGGCUCAACCUGGGAACGGCAUCCGGAACUGUCAAGCUAGAGUGCAGGAGAGGAAGGUAGAAUUCCCGGUGUAGCGGUGAAAUGCGUAGAGAUCGGGAGGAAUACCAGUGGCGAAGGCGGCCUUCUGGACUGACACUGACAC